GAGAAAACUGAGGCACAAAGAGUUUAAGUCCUUUACUAAGGCACCCAGCAUGUGUGAAGCCAGAACUUAAAUCCAAGAAAGGGACUGGGAAGAGCUUGCCCUGCUGACUUUAUCUCAAAGGGUGCUAUGAAAAUUCGACGAGAUAAAAUAUGUGACGCACUUGGCAUGGCUCCUGGCACACAAACGAUGGCUUCAUAAAUGGCAGCUAGCUAGUACCAAGGAGAACUGAGUUGGCUUUUGGAAGCUAAGGGAAGGGAGCUACCGCUCAGAGAGGAGUGAGGCUGUUUCUUUCUAUUCUCAGACCUAAGAAGGAACAGGUUCAACAUCCGGGCCACAUCCCCAUGGGGUUCUUAGGGAUGAAUCCCAAUAAUUCAUGGAGAUUCUCCUCAGACCCAUAAAGAAUUCUGCUGCCAGGCUGCUGAAGGAUGGAGGCCUCUUAAUGUCUAAGUGUGACUUAUUUCCCUGCAGCUCCUCGUGAAGACGGGAUAAGAAACUGCCUCUAUCUGCAGACCCCUGGCACAGCUAAACACUCCUGUGUCUCCCAGCAGUGGCGGCAGCUCUGGAGAGAUAAUGGGUGAUCUGGAACAGGCAGGGAUGUGGUUCAGAACCAAGAUUAUCUCAGCCAGUGCAGCUGACAAGAGACAGUUUUACCGUGUCCACAUGUUGUAAUUGCUCCUUGAGGCUGCCUGCCUCACCGUAACCCCGGCCAGCCCACCCACCACACCCUGCUCCAAUGCAUAGGCUUCCUGGUUCUCACCACAGCUGAGCUGUCCCCCUCAAGACAGUCCUGAACACAGUAGAUGAGAGAGAUUGGUGCCGUCCUUUUUCAAAAAAGGCUUAGAAAAGCCAUUGCCCAUUAAGCAAGACUGUCGGCAAGAAGCAGGAACCACAAGGCGUGUCCCUACCUUCAAAGAAUGUACAAUUCAGCUGAGAGUGCAGAGGAAAAUCACAAAGCGUGUUAUUAAAGAUCAAAAGGAAUGUCCCAGGCAAUAAGUUCUUGAACCGUUUG
rnacentral:lncRNA from 10 species